AAAUAGGUGGGGGGCUUAAGGGAUACUAUGAGGUGUGCAUUAAUUUUGAAAAUGGAAUCGAUAUACGGUCAUAGCUAUAGACUCAUGUCUAUGAUUUUGAACCACAGGGUCAGCUGAACGAGGAGAUGGGGCAUGCUGUCCCUGUGUGGCAUGUUCAUGCCCAUGCCACCUCAUGGCUGGGAAUAGGAUGACAAGCAAUGAAGGGGAGCAGAAGAGGGCAUUAGAGAAGAGCAAGGCUCUCUUUCUUCUGAAAAGAUACCCCUCCACUGAGGAGAAGUCUGAGCUGUUAGUGAGGGGCUUCAGAUGAAGACUGUGAACAAAUGGUUCAUUAAUUACAGAUACACCAUGUUUCUUGAACUGCGGAGGCGGGCAGUUAAGAAAAUAACAAUGGAGAGCACGGAGGCCGAUGUGGACCGCUUGGUGACGAGGGGCACAAACCUGGCCUUUGCCCACCUCCUUGGUAAUGGGAGAGUGCUGAAUGAGUCCUGCAGGGACACUGUGAAAACAUACCUGCAGGCUUGGCUCAAGGCCCUAAGGGGGGGAAAGGACCCCAAUGCCGAGGCCAUUAAGGCAGUCCAGGACAUGAAGAGUGCCUAGGGUGUGUGUGUGUGUGUGUGUGUGUGUGUGCGUGUGCGUGUGUGUGCGUGUGUGUUCAAACUUCAAAUAGAAUUUAAUUCAAUCUUUUGAAGUUUUUAAUUUGUUUGAAUGUAUUUUUUGAAUCGUUCAUUGUAUUCCCUAGAUUAAUUCAUUUAAAUUCAUAUUUAUUCAAUUGAAUGAUAAAAUAUUAUAUCAUUCUUUAUUUAUUACAUAUUUUUGUAUAGAUCAGUAUAAAUGUAUUGUUAUUGUAUAUUUAAAAUUGAUUAUUCUAUGAUACUUUUCUAUGAUAUUCAUUUAAUUCAAUAAUUUAUUCAUUAAACACUUUUAUAAACUUAAUUUCACCUCCUGUUUAUGUUCAUCUUCUGUUGAAAACAAUUGUUAUAUAAAAAAAAAAUCACAGUACAUUACCAUAUCCUUCUUCAUUUGAAGCAGUAUUUUACAUUUUUAACUUGUUCAUUCAGUUAUUGUUUGUUUGUUUUUACCUUAUUAAUCCCAUUACGCAGGGCUCUCAAGGAAAUUAAAAAUAAUGCAAGUUAAAUAUUGAAAAAAUAAGUAAUUAUCAUUUACACUCCAAUAACAUUAUAUAAGAUUUUACAGUAAAAUAUAAAUAGACCAUUAUCAUAUUAUCAUCAUAAUACUCCAGUUGAAACAAGAUAGCUUGACCAUGUCUUUGAGACAUGCAUACCAAUAUCUGAAGCCGUCUUAAAAUGGGAAUGUCUUAAGCCAAAGGAAAUAUGUCUUAAGAUGUCUUAAGACACUCAGUGUCUUCAAGACACAAAAAUCUGUCUGGGUGCAUCCCAUGUGCUGCUCUGGCAUGUCUUGAGACAUGGGUGGCGUCUUCAAUUUUUUGUCUUAAGAUGUCUUAAGACGUCUUGAUGUACAAAAAUGUCUUGAGACGUCUUGAUUUCUGUCACUAAGACAUCUUGAGACACUUUGA